AAACGCUGGCGGCGUGUCUUAAGCAUGCAAGUCGAGCGGCAGGCGCAGCAAUGCGCUGAGAGCGGCGGACUGGUGAGUAACGCGUGGGUAAUCUACCUUUGGCAUGGGGAUAGCCACUAGAAAUAGUGGGUAAUACCGAAUACGUUCCCUGGGGGGAGGUUUCAGGGAAGAAAGGGUGCUACGGCACCGGCCAAAGAUGAGCUCGCGUCCCAUUAGCUAGUUGGUGAGGUAACGGCCCACCAAGGCGAUGAUGGGUAGCCGGCCUGAGAGGGUGUACGGCCACACUGGGACUGAGAUACGGCCCAGACUCCUACGGGAGGCAGCAGCUAAGAAUAUUCCGCAAUGGACGAAAGUCUGACGGAGCGACGCCGCGUGGAUGAUGAAGGCCGAAAGGUUGUAAAGUCCUUUUGCUGGGGAAGAAUAAGUGUGGGAGGGAAUGCCCGCAUGAUGACAUGAACCGGCGAAUAAGCCCCGGCCAACUACGUGCCAGCAGCCGCGGUAACACGUAGGGGGCGAGCGUUGUUCGGAAUUACUGGGCGUAAAGGGCAUGUAGGCGGUCUGGUAAGCCUGGCGUGAAAGGCCACAGCUCAACUGUGGGAUUGCGUUGGGAACUGCUGGGCUUGAGUUAUGGAGAGGGAGCUAG
rnacentral:rRNA from 1 species